GCCUGGUAAUGGGUUUCCGUGGGCCCUUCUCUGUGGGCCCUCUUGGUGUGCCCAUGCCAGAGUAAACAGCAGCCUCGAACCAUUGCCCAGCCUCCUUACCUGGGGACUGAGCACUGAAGGGGAGUGUAUAGUU